rnacentral:rRNA from 1 species
AUUGAACGCUGGCGGCAGGCCUAACACGUGCAAGUCGAACGGUAACAGGAAGCAGCUUGCUGCUUCGCUGACGAGUGGCGGACGGGUGAGUAAUGUCUGGGAAACUGCCUGAUGGAGGGGGAUAACUACUGGAAACGGUAGCUAAUACCGCAUAACGUCGCAAGACCAAAGAGGGGGACCUUAGGGCCUCUUGCCAUCGGAUGUGCCCAGAUGGGAUUAGCUAGUAGGUGGGGUAACGGCUCACCUAGGCGACGAUCCCUAGCUGGUCUGAGAGGAUGACCAGCCACACUGGAACUGAGACACGGUCCAGACUCCUACGGGAGGCAGCAGUGGGGAAUAUUGCACAAUGGGCGCAAGCCUGAUGCAGCCAUGCCGCGUGUAUGAAGAAGGCCUUCGGGUUGUAAAGUACUUUCAGCGGGGAGGAAGGGAGUAAAGUUAAUACCUUUGCUCAUUGACGUUACCCGCAGAAGAAGUACCGGCUAACUCCGUG